rnacentral:sRNA from 1 species
UACUAAUCGCAUGGAUGAGUAUUCCCGAC